rnacentral:rRNA from 1 species
AAUGAACGCUGGCGGCAUGCCUAACACAUGCAAGUCGAACGGAAACACGAUGAGCGUUUUCCUCUAACGGUGGCGGGGGGCGGAUGAGUAACGAAUGCAUCAGCUACUUAUUAGUCUGGGGGAACAACGUGAGACAAGACCUAAUACUAGCUAAUAUAGUGAACCGGAUAAUUCAAUGGUGAAAGAGGGCUUUGCUGUCACUUGGAGAUGAUGUCGCGCCGGAUUAGCUAGUUGGUAAGGUAACGGCUUACCAAGGCAACGUUGCGUAGCUGACCUGAGAGGGUGAUCAGCCACACUGGAACUGAGACACGGUCCAGACUCCUACGGGAGGCAGCAGUGGGGAAUUUUGGGCAAUGGGCGAAAGCCUGAUGCAGCCACGCCGCGUGAGUGAUGAAGGUCUUCGGAUCGUAAACCGCUGUUGUUAGGGAAGAAAAGCUGUGUAAUAAAAUAUGAGCGUCUUGACGGUACCUAAUGAGAAAGCAACGGCUAACUACGUG